AGCGAACGUUAGCGGCGCGCCUAACACAUGCAAGUCGCACGAGAAAGGGCUUCGGCCCCGGUAAAGUGGCGCACGGGUGAGUAACACGUGGGCAACCUGCCCAACCCUGGGGGAUAACCUGCCGAAAGGCGGGCUAAUACCGCGUACGAGGGCUCGACUUCGGUCGGGUUCUGAAAGCAGGCCUCUGUAUACAAGCUUGUGGGGUUGGAUGGGCCCGCGCUCCAUCAGCUAGUUGGUGAGGUAACGGCUCACCAAGGCUACGACGGAUAGCUGGUCUGAGAGGAUGAUCAGCCACACUGGAACUGAGACACGGUCCAGACUCCUACGGGAGGCAGCAGUGGGGAAUCUUGCGCAAUGGACGAAAGUCUGACGCAGCGACGCCGCGUGGGUGACGAAGGCCUUCGGGUUGUAAAGCCCUGUGGGGUGAGACGAACAGCUGGGGUUCAAAUAGGGCCUCGGUCUGACGGUAUCACCUUAGCAAGCACCGGCUAACUCUGUGCCAGCCGCCGCGGUAAAAC
rnacentral:rRNA from 1 species